rnacentral:rRNA from 1 species
GAUGAACGCUGGCGGCGUGCCUAAUACAUGCAAGUCGAGCGAACGGACGAGAAGCUUGCUUCUCUGAUGUUAGCGGCGGACGGGUGAGUAACACGUGGAUAACCUACCUAUAAGACUGGGAUAACUUCGGGAAACCGGAGCUAAUACCGGAUAAUAUUUUGAACCGCAUGGUUCAAAAGUGAAAGACGGUCUUGCUGUCACUUAUAGAUGGAUCCGCGCUGCAUUAGCUAGUUGGUAAGGUAACGGCUUACCAAGGCAACGAUGCAUAGCCGACCUGAGAGGGUGAUCGGCCACACUGGAAGUGAGACACGGUCCAGACUCCUACGGGAGGCAGCAGUAGGGAAUCUUCCGCAAUGGGCGAAAGCCUGACGGAGCAACGGCGCGUGAGAGAUGAAGGUCUUCGGAUCGUAAAACUCUGUUAUUAGGGAAGAACAUAUGUGGAAGUAACUGUGCACAGCUUGACGGUACCUAAUCAGAAAGCCACGGCUAACUACGUG